rnacentral:rRNA from 1 species
UACGAACCGUCCAAGCGUUAUUCGGAUUUAUUGGGCUUAAAGGGUAUGUAGGCGGCCCUUCAAGUCGGGUGUGAAAGCCCUCGGCUCAACCGAGGAACUGCGCCCGAUACUGUGGGGCUUGAGGGAGACAGAGGUAAGCGGAACUGAUGGUGGAGCGGUGAAAUGCGUUGAUAUCGAGAGGAACACCUGCGGCGAAGGCGGGUUGCUGGGCUGACACUGACGCUGAGGCGCGAAAGCUAGGGGAGCGAACGGG